rnacentral:lncRNA from 1 species
GGGUGUGGAGUGGUUUUAGCAUCCCUAAGAGAGUGAAGGUUGUCCAGAGAUUUGCAUGUGCAGUUGGACCACCGUUGCAUGUCAAAAGUUGAAAUCAGUGAUUAAGUGGGAUAGAUAUAAUUGGUAACAUAAUUCAGAAAAGGAAAAUGAUUGGUAAAUUGAGGAAAGAGAAAGAAACAAGUGUAUUAUUACAUGGUUUUGUGACACAGGAUGGAACAACAAAAGAACAUGCUCCCGGAGACAACAGAGAGCAACAUCAACACCGUCAACCCACCGUGCUUUUUUAUUUCUCUUUAUAAACACUGUCUCCUAACAACAUUCACGUAAAUUUUUCAUUCAUAGAUUCUAGACACACAAGAGAGCCCGUAUCAUACAUUUCCAAAUAGUUAGAAAUACAUGUACAUUCUUUAUCAAUCAAAAUUUAAUAUAAUUU